AGGACUAACGCUGGCGGCGUGCCUAACACAUGCAAGUCGAACGAAGUAGCAAUACUUAGUGGCAGACGGGUGAGUAACACGUAGUCAACCUGCCCUUCAAUGGGGGAUAACUAGCCGAAAGGUUAGCUAAUACCGCAUACGAUCUCUGAGUGGCAUCACUCGGCGAUGAAAGGAGUAAUCCGUUGAAGGAGGGGACUGCGUCCCAUUAGUUAGUUGGUGGGGUAAUGGCCUACCAAGACUCCGAUGGGUAGCUGGCUUGAGAGAGCGACCAGCCACACUGGAACUGAGACACGGUCCAGACUCCUACGGGAGGCAGCAGUGAGGAAUUUUCCGCAAUGGGGGAAACCCUGACGGAGCGACGCCGCGUGUGGGAAGAAGGCCUUCGGUCGUAAACCACUGUCGAGGGGGACGAUAUUGACGGUACCCUGGAGGAGCCCGGCUAACGUACGCGCCAGCAGCCGC
rnacentral:rRNA from 1 species